ensembl:snRNA U6 U6 spliceosomal RNA
GUCCUCACUUCAGCAGCAUGUAUACCCAAAAUGGAACAAUACAGAGAAGAUUAGUAUGUCCCUGCACAAAGAUGGCAUGCAAAUUCUGGAAGCAUUCCAUAUUUUG